rnacentral:rRNA from 1 species
CCUACGGGCGGCAGCAGUGGGGAAUAUUGGACAAUGGGCGAAAGCCUGAUCCAGCCAUGCCGCGUGUGUGAAGAAGGCCUUCGGGUUGUAAAGCACUUUCAGUGGGGAAGAAAGCCUUGGGGCUAAUACCCUCGAGGAAGGACAUCACCCACAGAAGAAGCACCGGCUAACUCCGUGCCAGUAGCCGCGGUAAUACGGAGGGUGCGAGCGUUAAUCGGAAUUACUGGGCGUAAAGCGCGCGUAGGCGGUCUGAUAAGCCGGUUGUGAAAGCCCCGGGCUCAACCUGGGAACGGCAUCCGGAACUGUCAGGCUAGAGUGCAGGAGAGGAAGGUAGAAUUCCCGGUGUAGCGGUGAAAUGCGUAGAGAUCGGGAGGAAUACCAGUGGCGAAGGCGGCCUUCUGGACUGACACUGACGCUGAGGUGCGAAAGCGUGGGUAGCAAACAGGAUUAGAUACCCUAGUAGUC